rnacentral:rRNA from 1 species
AAUGAACGUUGGCGGCGUGGAUUAGGCAUGCAAGUCGAGCGAGAACCCCGCAAGGGGGGACAGCGGCGAAAGGGACAGUAAUGUGUAGAUUAUCUGCCCUCAGGUCCGGGAUAGCUGCGGGAAACUGCAGGUAAUACCGGAUAACAUCUCCGGAUCAAAGGUGUGAUUCCGCCUGAGGAUGAGUCUGCAUCCUAUUAGCUAGUUGGUGGGGUAAUGGCCUACCAAGGCAUUGAUGGGUAGCAGGUGUGAGAGCACGACCUGCGUCAUUGGGACUGAGACACUGCCCAGACACCUACGGGUGGCUGCAGUCGAGAAUCUUCGGCAAUGGGCGCAAGCCUGACCGAGCGACGCCGCGUGUGGGAUGAAGGCCUGCGGGUUGUAAACCACUGUCAGAGGGGAUGAAAUGCAGGUGGGUUCUCCCAUCUGUUUGACAUAGCCUCAGAGGAAGAACGGGCUAAGUUCGUG